rnacentral:tRNA from 1 species
AAUAAAAUGCCUGAGCAAAGGGUUAUCUUGAUAGGGUAAAUUACGUAAUUUUUACUUUUAUUA